UGGGGUCUCUUCGCCUCUGCAUUCAAGCUCUCCCAAUAAACGUGUGCAGAAGGAUCCUGUUGCAGCGUCGUUCUUGCUGGCAAGUCGGGCGCGCGCAAGAAGUGGUGCCGAAACCCGGGAAAAGAAACAUCUUCAGGCACGAGCGAAGACCCCCUGCUACAGGGAGGAUUCAGAACUGCAUCACGGGGAAGGAGCGGUUAAUAAAGUGUUCCCAUAAAACAGACUGCUGAGAAGGAUCUGACGUGGAUUCAGAAAUCUUCAGCUGGGGAACAGUGGUAAUGAAGUGUUCCUGCAAAACAGACUGCUGAGAAGGAUCCCACGGCGUGGAUUCAGAACUCUUCAGCUGAGGAAUGGUGGUACUGUGUUUUUAUGUUAAAAGCAUCAUGGAGAAUUUAUUCAAGCCAAGCACCGAAGUGUUACUUAUUCAGCCUCAUGACAAGAAAAGCACACAUCACAGACUUGCGUUAUCAGAAUACAACCACAGUCAACUCCAACCAAAGAUGAAAGAUUUCCACUAAAAAAAAGCCAUCAAAAUAUCUUACGACUGCUAUGCAAAACCAAAAACCACCCAGAGAAAAGGUUAGAAUAAAAUAUGCCAAGUCCUCGUAGUGGCUGUCUUUUGAAGGGAAUCUUAAGCCCACUGAUGCCUCUCCAAGAGCUGAAGUUCAGGUGUCACAAUGAAGGACAAGAAGCAAUCUUCUACGUAACACAACCAGACCCACGGCUGAAUCCUUGUUUGACAGUUGACUCUUCCCAAGAGGCCAGUUCUGCAAUAGCAAGCUUGCAGGCCCAAUUCCACACUAUUAGUGCACUGUUGGGUAGAAGCAGGCAGAGAGCAGAGGGAGCUGGUAGGAGUGAGAAGAGACAGCUGCAUACUAGCCCUUGGGGUUACUCCUCCAUUCUAACUUUAAAAAGAGUCAGUCAGCAGAAAGGAACAUAUGGGAAGGUCUCUUGGAUCAGUCAGCAGAUUGUAUGCUGGAAUCAAGAGCCUAACUACUGCACUCUUCCCAUACAAGUGGCUUCCCAUACACAGAGGCUUCCUAAGCCCACCAGGCCUGGACUCCAUAAAAUCAUUUCCCACAUGCCUUUUCUAGAUUGUUCUCCUUAAAAUCAUUUCCUUACCUCAAGUAUAAGCAGAAUGUGCUUGCCCCCAGAAUUCAUAUUUGGGGAUGAAUGUAUUAUUGGCAUGCCCACUUUCAUCAAACUUUCAUCAAAUGCACAAGAAUGGUAGUUAUGAAGCUUCAGUUUUAUCCUACACCCCAUUAUAUAUUGUUCAGAAAGCCUUAUACUAUUAUUAAGAUCUAAACUGAAUCGACGGUUACUCAGAUCAUCUACUAGGCACCAUAUCUUCUUUGAAUUCAAAUACAUCAGAAAAGAUAAUAUUAUAAAUUUAGUAGAAAAAAAUCACUGUUUACAAGAAUCCUCUUUAGUGAUGAAACCUACAACAUAUGUGUUUAGGUCAUUGACGUUUAUGGAAAUAACAGGAGAAAACACAUUUUGAUUUAAAAAUACCUGAAAGCAGGUAAAAUGGAUGGACUAAGACAUGGAUUCUGGACCCAGGAGUUAGAAUUUAAAUGCUGGACUUUCUCCAGGUAAUCAGCUUAAGAAAAAAAUGACCCUUGUGGUAUCCUGUAAAACAACCUUCUCCCUUCCCCUUAACUGGUCAGUUCAUGAGAAUCAAUAAACAUCACUACCACCUGAA